rnacentral:lncRNA from 1 species
AGAUGGACACAGCAUGCAUGAAUAUGGAUAGACUGACAUGGGAUGGAUGGAUACAGGGCGGGUGGACACGAGGUGGGAUGACGUGGGACGGGCAGACAUAGGAUGGAAGGGUAUGGAUAGAUGGACGUGGGACAGGUGGACACUGGGUGGAUAUGGGAUGGGCAGACAAGGGGUGGUGGAUGGACAUGGGUGGACAGAUAUGGGAUGGAUGGAAUAUGGGAUGGGCAGACAUGGGAUGGAUGGACAUGGGAUGGACAGAUAUGGGAUAGGUAGAAAUGGGAUGGAUGGAUAUGGGAUGGACAGACAUGGGAUGGAUGGACAUGGGAUGGACAGAUAUGGGAUGGACAGAUAUGGGAUGGAUGGGCAUGGGAUGGACAGAUAUGGGAUAGGUAGAAAUGGGAUGGAUGGAUAUGGGAUGGACAGACAUGGGAUGGAUGGACAUGGGAUGGACAGAUAUGGGAUGGACAGAUAUGGGAUGGAUGGGCAUGGGAUGGACAGAUAUGGCAUGGGUAGAAAUGGAUGGAUAUGGGAUGGAUGGACAUGGGAUGGAUGGAAUAUGGGAUGGGCAGACAUGGGAUGGAUGGAUAUGGGAUGGAUGGAUGGAUAUGAAUGGAUGGGUAGGCAUUGGGUGGACCUGCGAUGGGUGGACAUGGGAUGGAUGGUAUGGGAUGGAUGGAUAUGGGAUGGAUGGGUAUGGGAUGGAUGGACACAGUGGAUGGAUAGAUAUGAAGGGAUGGGUAGACAUUGGGUGGACUUGGGAUCGGUGGACAUGGGAUGGAUGGGUAUGGGAUGGAUGGACAUGGGAUGGAUGGGUAUGGAAUGAUGGAUAUGGGCUUGAUGGAUAUGGGAUGGAUGGACAUGAAAAGCUAACAAGGGCCAGAUGGACGUGGGGGGGUGGCCCAGCACCCCACCUCCCUCCUCGCACCCAUCAGUGCUGCGGUACCCCCACCCAGCACCCACCCGCCCCAUCCCCGCACCCCCCGUGCCCCACAUCCCCCUCCCCACGGCGCCCAUCCAUGCUGGCUUUUCCGGCCCAGCUGUCCCGCGGGGCGCGGGGGCCGGGGCAGGAAUUCGGCCGGGGCUGAGCAGCGCGCGGCAGCUCCGGAGACAGAGCAGCCUCUGAAUGCAGGGAAUGUUUUUGCAGCUGGAGUCCAUUAGGGGAGGGCUCGGCGGCUUUAUUAAUCCCAGCCUUAUUGCUCAAGAGGCGCGGGAGGGCAGGGGGAGCGCGGGGUGCGCGCAGGGGGGGAGAGCGGCCGUGAGGGGGGGUGUGGGGGGCAUAAAGAGCAGUGAGUGUGCGAGGAGGGUCUCCCUGACGACGGCCGUCCCUCCGCCGCGGGGCUUUUCUGCACCACGGAGGCUGCCCCUCUGCAGAGGUUUCCCCGCAGUGGAGGUUUCCCCCGUUAUGGAGCCGUCCCCGUGACGGAGGUUUCCCCAUCACUGAGGUUCCCCCACGGUGGGGUUCCCUCUAUGGCAGAGGUUCCCCCGUUCUGGGCACUCCCGCACGGCAGAUGGUGGAAAUAUCCUCCUGGUGAAGGUCUCCCCAAUCGCGGAGGUUCCUCCCUGCUGGAGGUGUCCCCACAGCGGAGGUUUGUCCUACAGUGGAGCUUUCCUCCUUGAUGGAGCCUUCCCCGCUGAUGGACGUUCCCCCAUUAUUGAGGCUCCCCCACGAUGGAGGCUUCUUCACAGUAGGGUCCCACCGAGAUGGAGGUCCCCCAUCGGUUUCCCCGUGACAGAGGUUUCCCAUAACCGGGGUUCCCCUGUGGUGGAGGUUUCCCCAUUAGGGAUGUUUCCCCGUCACUGAGGUUUCUCUGCAAUGGAGGAUCCCAUUGAUGGAGGGUCCCCUUAACGGAGCUUCCUCCCAUGAUGGAGGCUCCACUGAUGGAGGUUCCCCCAUUGAUAGAGGUUCCCCCAUUGAUGGAGGUACUCCCCAUAAGCGCGGUUCCCACUGACUGAGGUUCCCACUGAUGGAGGUUCCCAUUGAUGGAGGUUCCCAUUGAUGGAGGUUCCCACUGAUGGAUGUUCCCACUGGUGGAUGUUCCCACUGAUGAAGGCUCCCAUUGAUGGAGGCUCCCCAGCGCAGCCCCCCACCCUGGCAGGCUAUGGGGCAGAGCAGCACCGGGAGGAGAAGCAGUGGGGCAGCGGUGUCGGGUUUGUGCAGACGUGGAGCUGUGUGUGGGGCUGAGCCCCCCGCGCUGCCCCCCGCCUGCGCUCCCCUUCCUCUGCUUUGAUUUCUCAUUUCUCUUUUCUUGUUUCUUUUUAUGAUUUUUCCUUUCUUUUUUUUUCUUUUUCUUUGUUUCAUUUCCCCCCUUUUCCUCUUUCUUUUUAUUUAUUCUUUUUCCUCUCUUUUCCUUUUUCUCAUUUCUUUUGGCUUUUCCUUCUUUUCCUUUUUCUUCCUCAUUUUUCCUUUUGUUGCUUUUUCUUUCCAUCUUUUUUUCCUUUUUUUCCUUUCUUUCCUUUUUUCUUUUCUCACUUUUUUAGUUAUUUUCCUCUAUUUUUUCUGGUUUCUUCUUUCCUUUGAUUUUAUUUUUAUUUUUCUCUCUUUUUUUUCCCAAUUUUCUCUCCGUUUUUCUUUUUCCCAAUUUUUCUUCCCCCCCCUUUUUUCCCUCUGUUUUUUCUUCCUCCCUCUCCCUCCUCUUCCUCCCCCCCCCCCGCUCCUUUCUCUCUCUCUCCCAUUUCUCUCCGUCCCCCUCCCCAUUUUCCUCCCCUCCUCCAAAGCCGCUCCGCCAUAGCGGUGUCUCCGCACCCCAAACCCAACGGCGCACACCGCCCGUCCCGCCCCACCCCCGUUCGUUCCCGCAGCCCCACCUGCGCCCCCCCCGACCCCAAACGGCUGCAGCGGAGGAACGAAACGCCCCCG